CGUAGGUGGCAAGCGUUGUCCGGAUUUACUGGGUGUAAAGCGCGUGCAGGCGGUUCGGUAAGUUGGGUGUGAAAGCUCCUGGCUCAACUGGGAGAGGUCGCUCAAAACUGGCGAACUGGAGAGUGGUAGGGGAAGGUGGAAUUCCGGGUGUAGUGGUGAAAUGCGUAGAUAUCCGGAGGAACACCAGUGGCGAAAGCGGCCUUCUGGACCAUUUCUGACGCUCAGACGCGAAAGCUAGGGUAGCAAACGGGGUUAGAGACCCCGGUAGUCCUAGCCGUAAACGGUGUGAACUUGGCGCUGGUGGGGUCAAACCGAUCAGUGCCGUAGCUAACGCGAUAAGUUCACCACCUGGGGACUACGGCCGCAAGGUUA
rnacentral:rRNA from 1 species